UACGGAGGGUGCAAGCGUUAAUCGGAAUUACUGGGCGUAAAGCGCGCGUAGGCGGUUUGUUAAGUGAGAUGUGAAAGCCCAGGGCUCAACCUUGGAACUGCAUCUCAUACUGGCAGGCUAGAGUACGGUAGAGGGGGGUAGAAUUCCACGUGUAGCGGUGAAAUGCGUAGAGAUGUGGAGGAAUACCAGUGGCGAAGGCGGCCCCCUGGAUCGAUACUGACGCUGAGGUGCGAAAGCGUGGGGAGCAAACAGGAUUAGAUACCCCGGUAGUCC
rnacentral:rRNA from 1 species